rnacentral:rRNA from 1 species
GAUACCAGCUUGCUGGUAGGCGUCGAGCGGCGGACGGGUGAGUAACACUUAGGAAUCUACCUAGUAGUGGGGGAUAGCUCGGGGAAACUCGAAUUAAUACCGCAUACGACCUACGGGAGAAAGGGGGCAACUUGUUGCUCUCGCUAUUAGAUGAGCCUAAGUCGGAUUAGCUAGUUGGUGGGGUAAAGGCCUACCAAGGCGACGAUCUGUAGCUGGUCUGAGAGGAUGAUCAGCCACACCGGGACUGAGACACGGCCCGGACUCCUACGGGAGGCAGCAGUGGGGAAUAUUGGACAAUGGGGGCAACCCUGAUCCAGCCAUGCCGCGUGUGUGAAGAAGGCCUUUUGGUUGUAAAGCACUUUAAGCAGUGAAGAAGACCUAACGGUUAAUACCCGUUAGCGAUGACAUUAGCUGCAGAAUAAGCACCGGCUAACUCUGUGCCAGCAGCCGCGGUAAUACAGAGGGUGCAAGCGUUAAUCGGAAUUACUGGGCGUAAAGCGAGCGUAGGUGGCUUGAUAAGUCAGAUGUGAAAUCCCCGGGCUUAACCUGGGAACUGCAUCUGAUACUGUUAGGCUA